GGCCUUGUAGCUGAGGGGAUUAGCACCUGACUCUUAAUCAGGGGACCUUGGUUCGAUUCCAAGUAGGGCCAC
rnacentral:tRNA from 1 species